rnacentral:lncRNA from 1 species
AUAAGAUGUUUCCAUUAUAAAUCCUUAGCACUUAUAUAAUUAUAUAAUAUACAUCUUUUACUAUUAAAAAAAAGUUAAUAAGAUGUUUCCAUAAUAAUCAUCAUAGGAAGAUAAUUACUUAAUCUACCUUGAUUUUGAAGGUUUUUUCUGUGGGUGAAAUUACAAUAAAAUUACAAUUGAUAAAUUACAAAUGAAGAAAAUAAAAAAUAUCUUCUUCUUGGCUGAGGCGUGGAUAUCUCGCUCUCUUUAAAGAGAUCCACGCCCACUGCUACAAAUAUUUUCACCGGUCCAGCAGUAAUCUUCUUGACUUGUCCCCUCCAGGAUACAACAACCUUCUCACAAAGAACAAUUCAAUAACUCUAGAUAUGAGCCGAGUUCAAAGCUUCACAAAAAAAAUACCUUCCUUCAACUAAUAAACUCUUUUUUUUCUAACUUUUGUUAACUCUAUA